CUUCUGGGAAGAGAGGAGGAGUGAGGCCCUCAGUUCCCUUCAAGGGAAAGAUGUUGUUGUUCUAGCGGAUGGAAGAAAUGACUCACCAGGCCACUGUGCACAGUACUGCAGCUACACCACCAUGGAGAAUGACACCAAAGAGAUCAUUCAUGUUGCCACCAUCGACAAGCGGCACACAUCCUGGAACUCUGUUGUCAUGGAGAGGAAGGGCUUUAUCCAGACUGUGGACAAGCUAACAUCAGAGAUAAAGCUUGUAGAGGUCUGCACUAAUGCUCAUGCCCAGAUUGGGGCCCUUAUGAACCCAGAUAAAGGCAAAUACAAGGCACUUGGAAUUCAUCACAGUCUGGACAUGUGGCA